AUCUAGCUGACGAGUUCCAAAAAGGACGAAACGCGCGUGCUGUAU
rnacentral:hammerhead_ribozyme from 1 species